CUCUCAGUGUGGAGAAAAAAAUAAAACUUUCUGAAAAUAGAAUGGUAGCACUUUGGGCUUCAAAGUUGCUGGAAAAAUUCUAAUUAAAUAAGUUUGAGAAAUAGGCUGAGAUGCCAGCUUAUAUCAUCUUCCCGAGAAACACAAUAAAGUUAAAGUAGCAGGAUAAAACUAAAAUAACAAAAAUCUGUAUGAAAAUGCAGGAGCUCUACCAGGAUGGGUAGGAUUUGAAGAGCAAGGUAGCAGAGGAAAGAAAAGUGGUUUUUUUAAGUUCACCCUGACAUUCUGUACCUGUUUUCCCCUCCAGGCAUUUGCUGAUGCAAAAACUGCACAGGUGGAGAGGCUGAGAAGCCAAGCAGAAAGCCCUGCCAAGGGGCAGAGAAGUAGGGCAGAGCCUUUGUUGUUCUCCAGGGGCCUGGGAUGCACAAACAUGAGUUCAGAGCUGGCAGCAAAGCCAAGAGAGAGGCUCAGAAGAGGCCAGAGGCCAGUUCUGCAUCCCAUUUACUAUUGAGUUUGUCACUAGAGCUGACAGAGAACUUCAUAGGAGCCGCAAACCCUGGUAGUCAACCAAAAGAGACUGACAUCUGGGUUUCUGCCUCAAAAUAUGUA
rnacentral:lncRNA from 1 species